rnacentral:misc_RNA from 1 species
UCUCCGUAGGUGAACCUGCGGAGGGAUCAUUACAGAGUCCUCGCCCCUCCGGGUAGAUCUCCCACCCACUGUGAUUGAUACUGUGUUGCUUUGGCGGGCCGCCGGGCCCUGCCCGUCCGCCGGCUCCGGCUAGCGCGCGCCCGCCUGAGGCUCCGCAAACUCUGAAUGUCAGUGUCGUCUGAGUACUAUAUAAUAGUUAAAACUUUCAACAACGGAUCUCUUGGUUCUG